rnacentral:rRNA from 1 species
UGCGCAGAACUUUCCUUCAGUUCGGCUGGAUCAGUGACAGGUGCUGCAUGGCUGUCGUCAGCUCGUGUCGUGAGAUGUUGGGUUAAGUCCCGCAACGAGCGCAACCCUCGUCCUUAGUUGCCAUCAUUUCAGUUGGGCACUCUAAGGAAACCGCCGGUGAUAAGCCGGAGGAAGGUGGGGAUGACGUCAAGUCCUCAUGGCCCUUACGCGCUGGGCUACACACGUGCUACAAUGGCAACUACAGUGGGCAGCAAACUCGCGAGGGUGAGCUAAUCUCCAAAAGUUGUCUCAGUUCGGAUUGUUCUCUGCAACUCGAGAGCAUGAAGGCGGAAUCGCUAGUAAUCGCGGAUCAGCAUGCCGCGGUGAAUACGUUCCGGCAGAAAGUACACACCGAGA